CCCUUUGCGCAUGCGUACUUCCCUCGGGUCCGGCCUGUCGCAGCCAGGAAGGAAAAGGACUCCGGGGUCAGAGGGGCAUUGCUGCCGUCUCCGUCUGAACUGCUACAAAAUUGGAAUACUGGAGGGAUCUGAACCAUUGUGCAACCUCUUCACUGCUGUGACUCCAGAGCCCGGAACUGGAGAGUCUGCACACUCGGAGGAAGACGAUCCUGGUCCUGAUUUGCCCUAGGUGAUGGGGGACUCACGUUCAGAUGUGUGUUAUCAACAGAGAAGCCCUCACCGCACCACACCCACCACCCCAGGCUCUCACAGCUGACCACUUGAUGCUUGCACUAUUUGACAAAAGGUGUCAUCUUUGGACUGGGAGCCCCCAUAGGGGCAGGAUCCAGUACUGCCUUGGCCAUGCUGUCACCAGCAUGGUCCAGAAGUGGUGAGGAGCAGAGGAAGUACCUACCACCUAUUCGCUGGAUAAAGAAGCUUCUGGAAUCCCUGCUAUCCUGGACCCAGGAGUGUAGACAGGAACUGUCCUAAGUCCAGCACACAGGCCAGGCCUGAGGUGGAUGGGCAGUCACACCCAGUGAUGACCCCCAACAGUCCAGCCUUGGUCUCCACUCCAUUGGCCCUGCCUCACAUUCCACCUAGGGACCUGUUCCAUGCCUUCUACUCACAAAUUCCUGAAGGGAUUUGGGACUGUGAGUGGACUGAAAGGGGCAGGGACCAGAGAACCACUUUAAAAAUGAACUUUGUUGUUAGUGCCGUUGUGUCAAUUCCAGCUCCCAGCGACUCUGUGUACAGCAGAGUGGAACCCUGCCCGGUCUUUUUGUACCACCCUCUCACCUUCCAGCCCUCUAUCAAUAAUGCUCUGCUGCUAUUCAUAGGGAUUUCAGGGCCAGUAUUUUCAGAAGUGGGCGGCCAAGUCCUUCUUCCUAGUCUGUCUAGUCUGUAAGCUCUGCUGAAACCUGUCCACUGUGGGUGACUCUGCUGGUAUUUAAAACACUAGAGACAUGGCUUUAAAUAUUGCGGCAACAUGCAGCCACCACAGUAUGACAAGGACAGACGGGUGGUGAGGUUCCCUGACUGUGCAAUGAACCUAGGCUAUGGUGGUGAGAGCACCGAAUCUUAACUACUAGACCAGCAAAAGAUGAACUAGUGGAUUUUAAACUGAGGGCCCCAAGUUUAAGGGGGCCAUCCCCAGCACCAAAAAUGGGGCCAGGCACACCAAUCCCUCAAUAAGUGUUUAAUGAAUGAAUAAU